AGUUGGCUUAAGGACGGCCCUGUUUAACACAAGACAAGUCAGUUUAUCAUUGGGUGUAGUGUGGUGGGACCUCGAGCGUGGGCCAGCGACAAUAGUACUAGACGAGGCUUUAGAAAAAGAAGAGGAAUACGAGGAGGAGGAAAGGGAGGGGUAACACUCACAAGUACCUACCCACAAUACAUCAGCCUCACCAGGUUCCAAGAGCCAGCACCUACAGCCAGAAACUCACCGUGGCGAGGAACUUGUCGGCUGUCCAGAACUGUAGGAGGUCACCCACGUUUACCAGGAUGGUGCCGGGCACAGGGACUGCCUCCACCCAUGACCCUCCGCGUUCACGUACCUGAUGGAGGAGGAACUGUCACCAAGGCCAGCUUAACACCCCCAUCAACACUGGUGCCAGAGUAAUCAUGAAGAGAGAGAGAGAGAGAGAGAGAGAGAGAGAGAGAGAGAGAGAGAGAGAGAGAGAGAAAUCUUGUAUAUAUUCCUUAAUUAUUAGUAAAAUGCAAACACGUUG